rnacentral:rRNA from 1 species
UGGGGAAUAUUGCACAAUGGGCGCAAGCCUGAUGCAGCCAUGCCGCGUGUGUGAAGAAGGCCUCGGGUUGUAAAGCACUUUCAGCGAGGAGGAAGGUGGUGAACUUAAUACGUUCAUCAAUUGACGUUACUCGCAGAAGAAGCACCGGCUAACUCCGUGCCAGCAGCCGCGGUAAUACGGAGGGUGCAAGCGUUAAUCGGAAUUACUGGGCGUAAAGCGCACGCAGGCGGUUUGUUAAGUCAGAUGUGAAAUCCCCGGGCUCAACCUGGGAACUGCAUUUGAAACUGGCAAGCUAGAGUCUCGUAGAGGGGGGCUAGAAUUCCAGGUGUAGCGGUGAAAUGCGUAGAGAUCUGGAGGAAUACCGGUGGCGAAGGCGGCCCCCCUGGACGAAGACUGACGCUCAGGUGCGAAAAGGCGU